rnacentral:rRNA from 1 species
UUUUACCUUUUUUUAUCACCCCGGGAGAAAUACAUUCAGUAAGCGGAGGAAAAGAAACUAACCAGGAUUCCUCUAGUAACGGCGAGUGAACGGGGAUUAGCCCAUCACCGAAGCCCGUGUGCUUUUGCAUGCAGGGCAAUGUGGUGUUAAGGCUUGUACCUGGGACUGUGAACCCACCAAAAGUCCAGCUCCGAUUCUGGCUUAUUGUACUCCAAAGCGGGUGAAAGGCCCGUGAUGGUGGGUUAUGUACUAUAUCGCAGUCCUCAGAUGUGCAUGCCUUCGAGUCGGAUUGCUUGAGAAUGCAGUCCAAAGUGGGUGGUAAACUCCAUCCAAGGCUAAAUACUGGCAUGAGUCCGAUAGUAGACAAGUACCGUGAGGGAAAGUUGAAAAGUACUCUGAAGAGAGAGUAAAUAGUACGUGAAGCCGAUUGCAGGGAAGCUGGUGGAGUCAAGCUUCAUGCUUGAGGAAUUGUUGUCAUGAGUUUAUUGUGGUUGCGCAUCUGGUCAGUCAGCUUGGAAUAAGUUGGGCACAUUCGUGUGUUUCAAGUCAUUCCGGGUAGUGUGUUUGAAGCUGGUCAUGAUGUGUUGCUCAUGGUGAUCUAUUCCUCGUGGCAUAAAUCACAGUCGAUAUUGUUGUGCCCGAUGAUUGUCUAACUGUGCUUCGGCAGGCCUAGUGUUUGCCCGGUGCAGAAUGGAAGCUAUGGCUGUUGGCCUUUGGUCAAUGUGUCUUGUAAUAUAAAGCCGACUUUCAUUUGUGGUGUCUUCCAAUAUCGUGAUUGCUUGGUGUCUCGUCUACGGACCUGGCAUUAGUUAGAACUGUGAUUCUGAGGUAGACGUUCCACCCGACCCGCUAAAAACGGGGGCACACAAAAGCCUAA